UCACGUCAAAUGUUUGUGUUUGGUAACAUUUGUUGAGGUCAGGCCAUGGUUGAGGUAAAGAAAGAUUUAAUAGUUUGCUUAAAAAAUCGAAGAUAGGAUAUAUUUUGAUAUUGCUUGGUAAACUCCUGUAAGGUAAUUAUGUCAUGUCAUUUGACGUGAAUGGAAACAGUCAUUGAUUUAAAAUGAUGGCAAGGUGUAUAUGGCAACAGUUAUGCUCAUAAAGAAAUGUGGGAAAAUGAAAAACAGUUUGUCAACUGUUGGUGGAUCAGAAACUUCAACAGGGACAGAAAACGAAAAACGCCAAAACAAGAUCUUUUGGAGUUU